rnacentral:miRNA from 1 species
UAUUGCACUUUUACUGUACC